GAUGAACGCUGGCGGCGUGCCUAAUACAUGCAAGUCGAGCGAGUGGAUUAAGAGCUUGCUCUUAUGAAGUUAGCGGCGGACGGGUGAGUAACACGUGGGUAACCUGCCCAUAAGACUGGGAUAACUCCGGGAAACCGGGGCUAAUACCGGAUAACAUUUUGAACCGCAUGGUUCGAAAUUGAAAGGCGGCUUCGGCUGUCACUUAUGGAUGGACCCGCGUCGCAUUAGCUAGUUGGUGAGGUAACGGCUCACCAAGGCAACGAUGCGUAGCCGACCUGAGAGGGUGAUCGGCCACACGGGGACUGAGACCCGGCCCAGACUCCUACGGGAGGCAGCAGUAGGGAAUCUUCCGCAAUGGACGAAAGUCUGACGGAGCAACGCCGCGUGAGUGAUGAAGGCUUUCGGGUCGUAAAACUCUGUUGUUAGGGAAGAACAAGUGCUAGUUGUAUAAGCUGGCACCUUGACGGUACCUAACCAGAAAGCCACGGCUAACUACGUGCCAGCCGCCGCGGUAA
rnacentral:rRNA from 1 species